GUCGCGGUAGUUCAGCAGCCAGAACGCCUGCGUGCCAGGCAGGCGACACGGGUGCGAGUCCCGUCCGCGGCUCCA
rnacentral:tRNA from 1 species